CUGUCGUUCGGAUGAUUGUCAAAUUUAGAGCCGUCACCGCGCCGUCGCCGCCGUCUCCGUCGCUACUCGCCCGGCCCCCCUCGGCGAAUUUAGUCGCGAGGGGGGAGAGGAAAGGACAGGGAGCGAGCGAAUGAAUCACUUUUUCGGGUGUUCUCUCAAAGAAAGAUCGGAUAAGAAACGUAGAAUGGCAUGUAAAUAGCGUUAUCUAUUUCUCCGUCUCUCCCUAUCGCUUUUUUCCCUUCUCUGUCUCUCUCUUUCUCUCUCGCUCCCGUCGGAGUAUCUGUUAUUUACGCUUUUGAUGAGAACAAAGCUGAGAAUAGAUAUCCGAGGAAAUUGGCUUGGGGCGAAACAGAUUAGGCUUAGGAGAGCUCUCGUCGCACUGACGCGAGGCAUCGACGGUACAUCGAUAAUCUCGUGUGACACUGACUAUAAAGGAUUGUGAUAAAGAGCAAGGUUCGAGAUUAAUGGACGCUGUCGCUUGGCCGUUGUGCGCGCUGGGCGUGAUAUAUUUAAAAAUAAAAGGAUUAUACUACUUGGUGGAACUGUGCCGUUCGUCACAGCGGAAUUUUGACGAAAUCGUGAUGGUGUCGCGGCGGUCCCGCAGCGAAG